rnacentral:rRNA from 1 species
GUGGGGAAUAUUGCACAAUGGGCGAAAGCCUGAAUGCAGCAACGCCGCGUGAGUGAUGAAGGUCUUCGGAUUGUAAAGCUCUGUCUUUUGGGACGAUAAUGACGGUACCAAAGGAGGAAGCCACGGCUAACUACGUGCCAGCAGCCGCGGUAAUACGUAGGUGGCGAGCGUUGUCCGGAUUUACUGGGCGUAAAGGGUGCGUAGGCGGAUGUUUAAGUGAGAUGUGAAAUACCCGG